GCCGCCGUAGCUUAAUCAAAGCAUAACACUGAAGCUGUUAAGAUGGGCCCUGAAAAGCCCCGGAAGCA
rnacentral:tRNA from 1 species